UACUGAGCGUCGUUAGCAGCAGCUGUAGGUUGUUAACUCCUUGACCUCUAAUUGGUCGGUUCAAAUCUCAGGCUCAAAUCCCAGCGCUUCCCAUGUCAGCAGUUACUCACAAGCUGCUCCUGCUGUAAAUUCAAACCAGGGAGAUCAGUCUGUAGUUUGGCCCAAAGUUCCCAAAGGGGUCAUCAUGCAACGUAAUCCAACUCAACCACACGUGGGGCCCGGCAUCUCUUAUCCUACUGCUCAAAGAGGACCAGCACCAUCUGUUGGCCUCAGUUCUUCUUCUGGGCCCAUCUCCUCAGGCUUCAGGGACCCUUCAGUCAGGCAACUUCCUUUCAGCUCUGCACAACCAGGAUCUGCUUUUCAACCUGGUCCUGAAAGAAUCCACAUGGCUCCUCCCAAUCCUAACUCUGGAGGUGUGGGAGUGUCUGGUAUCCGUGACGUUGCUUCCAGUUUCCCUGAGGAAGUGAGUCCACCAACUGAAUCACCGUACAAAGCGGGAGAGCUCUCCCAGUUUGAUAGAAGCUUUGACUAUGGCAACAACGAGAUGGAGACUGAGCAACGCGGCAGUCGGCCUCCACCACCCUUCUUUGGUCCAGCGUCUGCUGGACAAGGUUUUGCAGGACCACUUCAGCCAAACACCAACAUUGGUUUAGGAUUUGACUUCUUUCCUUCCCCUUACUACGACUACAUGUUCCUGACUGGCCAGUAUCCUCCAGGCACCUUCAGUCAUACCAGCAGCAGCUAUAAUCAGGGGAGGGACUACUACGAAGACAUUCAGUAUGAGAGACCCGGUCGUGAGCAGCCGAUGGCGCCAGUCGCUGACUUUCAAUCCCCCCAGAGCAUCAAGGGUCCCAAUCCUCGGAUGGCUGGUUACAGGCAAGUUGGUGCAAAGGCCAAACCUGAUUCUUCCCACAGAGGCUUCAAGCCGGUUAGUGGCCAAGCUGGUGGCCGCAACCAAGUUAAGGUGGGGAUGCCUUCAGUGUACAAAGCCUUUUGAAUGCAAUAAAAGUUUUAAGAUGUCAACUUGACUGCUUUCCUUAUAUUUUUUUUUUGAUGUGCCAAAAUUAUGCAUGACAGGUUUAUUUGGAGAUGAAGAUUCAUACACCUGAAC
ensembl:lncRNA